UACGGGGGGGGCAAGCGUUGUUCGGAAUUACUGGGCGUAAAGGGCUCGUAGGCGGCCAACUAAGUCGAACGUGAAAUCCCUCAGCUUAACUGGGGAACUGCGUCCGAUACUGAUUGGCUUGAAUCCGGAAGAGGGAUGCGGAAUUCCAGGUGCAGCGGUGAAAUGCGUAGAUAUCUGGAGGAACACCGGUGGCGAAGGCGGCAUCCUGGGUCGGUAUUGACGCUGAGGAGCGAAAGCCAGGGGAGCAAACGGG
rnacentral:rRNA from 1 species